rnacentral:lncRNA from 1 species
CACAUGUUUCCAAUCCAUCCUUCUUUCAUCCCCAUUAUCAAUUGCAAAAAUUCUUCUUUGCAUUAUCAAUAAUACGAAUUCGGUCCAGCGAUUGAUGCGAAGAAUAACGAAAGAAGAUCAAAUUGAUUCAGAUUGAAACCCUAGCCUCCCUCUUUCUUUGGCUUGAAGCUUCUACCAUACGCUUUCCUGAAACAUUAAAGUAUCAUACGCUUCUUCUUCUUGUACCUGCAUCUCAUUCUCUCUGAAUCGCUUGUGCUAUUUCAAAACCCUCAUCUCAGAUUCCUUAAUGACGGUCAUUCCUUUAAGAGGUAUUUUAUUAUUGCAUUCAUGAAUGUAUGAUUAUUAUUAUUAUUGACAUAUGGAAUGUAAGAACUAUUAGGAUUUCUUUAAAGAUAUUUUUGUUGUUUGUUUAUUGAAGAUGGGUUUGAUUAGAUAGAUAUUUGUUGUUUGUUAUUUGUUAUUUGUUAUUUGAAUAUUUUGUUCAUUAAAGGUUUCUUGUGCAACGGUGACGAAAAAAGUUGAAAGGGUGUAGGUUUUCAUGACUACAGUUAAAAUGUGAUCAAAAGUUGGGAUUUUUUGUUUUCCCAAAGAAAGAUGCCCUCUGUUAAAGUGACAUAAGGAAUAUUGAAAUGAUUUCAAUUUGAAGCCACAAAACUAUUCCGAAACAUUUGUUCUUCUUCUUUUUUUUUUUUGAAAAUCACACAAUUUGAUCUACAUGCUCUCACGUUUCUUUUUAGGAUAUAUUCAUUUUGUUUAGCUUUAUAACAUGGUUGCAUAAAACUUUUUAAUGAUAAUGUUUUUGUAAGAUGGUUUUGCUUGCUAUACACAAUUAGACGAGGUUUAUGAGCUAGAUGACACUAAUUAACUUUCUCUUCCAAAAGAAGCAUAUGCACGCAGUUUUUGUUCUGUGCUUAUGGUUUAGUUUGGUUUCAGUUUUAAUGAAAAUUUUGGAGCAAAUUGUUAACUACGGACGGCUUUUGGGAAUGACACCAAACUAACGGUUUGGUUUAAUCUAAUUAUUAGUAGACUUUUUCUCUUUGUUCUGGUUUGCAGUGAAUCAGAUAACUAUUGUUGGCCAAUUGACAAUCAUAAUUUCAGAGCUCGAAAUGGAAUACUAAAGAUACCUGAUAAUGGUUAUGAAAAUCUCAAAGAAAGGAGAAUAAUUCUUUUAGCACUUCCCUGUUAUGAAGCAAAGAGAAGUUGUAAACAAAUAUUUAAAAGUGAUUAAAACAACCGAUUAAGCUGGCCUUCACAUGCCUCACUAUGGAAACAAGUCAGAACAGUCUAGGAGGUGAACCAAUUUCUAAUGACUUAAUCUACCUUCAGGUACGUGUAACACUGGUUUAGGUACGUGUAAUAGUUGGUUGAUGAAUGUUAUUUAUCAUAGAUCUAUAGUGGGGACUUUAGUACUUAAUGUGCCGGGUUGAUUUAGCCCUCAAAGUAGGCAUCCUAGUAGAAAAUAGUCAAAGAGGUCAAAGUUCUUGCAUUCCUAUGGAUUAAAAAUUGAGCAAGAAUGAAUGCACUUGGUUAGGAGGAAUGGAAAACGCUCAAAGUGUAAUGAUACGUUUAGUGGAAUGUAAUAUGUAUGAUGUAAAUACCUUGGUGUUUGGGUUAAGCUUUCGGCUUUCCCUAUAUUAAUAAAGAUUUUGUUU